CACGAGCUAGUGAAAAGAAGAGUUCGUUUGAUUUGUUUCAGCCCCAGGACUGAGGCGUUCAGGUGGCGUGACUGGCGUGCCCUGUCUGCAAUCCUCCCUUUCAGUAAGCCCCAGGACCGAGGCGUUGAGGUGGCGUGACUGGCGUGAAUUCGGCGUGCCCUGUCUGCAAUCCUGCCUUUCAGUAAGGGGCAGUAAGGACAAGAUCCACCCACCACCCAGUGCAUGCUACAUAUGUGUGUGUAAUAAAUUGAGAGGGAAAGUGUGUGUGAUAAAUUAAAUUUAAUAA